rnacentral:rRNA from 1 species
GAUGAACGCUGGCGGCGUGCCUAAUACAUGCAAGUCGAGCGAACAGACGAGGAGCUUGCUCCUUUGACGUUAGCGGCGGACGGGUGAGUAACACGUGGAUAACCUACCUAUAAGACUGGGAUAACUUCGGGAAACCGGAGCUAAUACCGGAUAAUAUAUUGAACCGCAUGGUUCAAUAGUGAAAGACGGUUUUGCUGUCACUUAUAGAUGGAUCCGCGCCGCAUUAGCUAGUUGGUAAGGUAACGGCUUACCAAGGCAACGAUGCGUAGCCGACCUGAUAGGGUGAUCGGCCGCACUGGAGCUGAGACACGGACCAGGCUCCUACGGGAGGCAGCAGAAGGGAAUCUUCCGCAAUGGGCGAAAGCCUGACGGAGCAACGCCGCGUGAGAGAUGGAGGUCUUCGGAUCGUAAAACUCUGUUAUUAGGGAAGAACAAAUGUGUAAGUAGCUAUGCACGUCUUGACGGUACCUAAUCAGAAAGCCACGGCUAACUACGUG